rnacentral:rRNA from 1 species
CCCUUAGACGUUCUGGGCCGCACGCGCGCUACACUGACCAGUGCAACAAGCAUCCGUCCUUGGCCGACAGGCCCGGGCAAUCUUUGAACGCUGGUCGUGAUGGGGAUAGACUUUUGCAAUUUUUGGUCUUCAACGAGGAAUUCCUAGUAAACGCUAGUCAUCAACUUGCAUUGAUUACGUCCCUGCCCUUUGUACACACCGCCCGUCGCACCUACCGAUUGAAUGGUCCGGUGAAGCCUCCGGAUUGGCGCGCACCUCGGUGCCGCCGAGAAGUUGGCUAAACCUUACCAUUUAGAGGAAGGUGAAGUCGUAACA